GGAAUUGCUAGUAAUGGCAGGUCAGCAUACUGCCGUGAAUACGUUCCCGGGCCUUGUACACACCGCCCGUCACACCAUGAGAGUUGGGGAUACCCGAAGCCUGUGAGCCAACUUUUUAAGAGGCAGCAGUCGAAGGUAGAAUCAAUGAUUGGGGUGAAGUCGUAACAAGGUACC
rnacentral:rRNA from 1 species